ensembl:lncRNA
UCUGAUCUCCAGCAGGCUUUUGAAGUCAGUCCUGGGGACUUUAAGCCACAGGAUCAAGACUCCUUAAGCAAAAAGUUGGUUUUGUUUUCAAGAGGAACGUCUAGGCUCCUGGGGCGCGGCGGGACACGGGAGUCACGGAGCCUCCUCUCGUGGAGGAGCCAGUCCUCAGGGCAGGACCACCUGCCUGAUGGCCAGGAGAGACCACCUGGGCUCAGACCCCUCCCGGCUGCGAGAAGCUGGGCUCUCCCCACACCUCGGCAGCCUCCUCAGGGCCUGAUGAUAACCUGUGAGGGGUGAGAGACAGCUUCCUGGAAGACAAGCUUGAGAGUCUGAGAUGAUG